UUUUAUAACGCACUACCUUUUUUGGUCGGCUUGUGUGCGCAUCUUGAAUACAGACAUUCUGCAGUUUUCCAGACAACUGGGAUUAGUUUUCGUUGUUACAUGAGGUAUCAUACCGUACACCACCAUAAACACUCAGUUUUCAUUUCAGUCACAAACGAAGAAACACCGACGACUUCAUCCAGCCAUUGGUUGCAGAGUUCUGAGAAGUCGCUUGGCAAAUGGACGGGGCAGUGGCUUCGCCUGUACCAGUCGAAACACAUGUGCAACGUUUGCGGGAAGAUCUACAAACACCGCGAAUCGCUGAACCACCACAAGAAGAAACACGAGGGACUGACGACGUGCUACAUGUGCGGCAAAGUGUGCUGUAUCGUGGCGGAACUGCGGCGGCACCUCGAGCUGGUGCAUGGUCUGACUCAGGAAGAGGUCCGGAGGAUUGUCCCCACCAAGCCGAAGGAGCGGCUGGGACUGCCUCUCGCCCUGCCGUCUCAGUGUCCCCCUGAGGUGUACCGAGAGUGAAGGAGCGUGCCUCACGAGCAGGCCUCGUUGCGUGCGUGUGUGAUCUGGCAAGAGGCGAGGGGAUUGCGUGGCGACGGAAGUCAUACUUUGCUUGCGUGGUGUCUGCUCUUUUGGUCUGCCAUUCGUCACGGCGUCAGACUCAAUAGGCCAGUUCGUCGCCUUUAGCGGGUGGUAUGCUGCACGAUUGCAAAAUUUGCAGGAUAUAUCGUGCGUUUGUUGGACAUGUUGAUGGGACCUGUUUGUUUCAGUAUUGUGGCUGGUAGUUCGAGGUGGCUUAUUUAGGCUAUUGAUAAACAUUUAUGGCAUGAUAUCUUGAGGUAAAAAUGCACGCAUCAUUACGUUAAUUUUUGUCGGUUCCGAAUUCCCACUCUCUUCGAAGGCAAUUGUAACAUAAAUGGGGGUCAGAAAUUGUGUACAUUUCUAGCAUAUGCAUGUGACUAUGUAUGUUUUUUAUAUUUUCAGUUUCCGUUUGAGCUUCUAAUGCAUUUGCUGUAAGAACCUCGUAGACUUAAUUCGGAUGAUGAGGAAGAGUUUGGUCGGCCUGCUGUUGAAUGGAAUGAGCUUUAUAAGUUAAAGGGACUUAAACUUUUUUGGCAGUUUUUACGAAAGCUGUCGAAAAUAAAGCUGUCUGUUACUGCU